ACGGGUUAGUAACGCGUGGGAAUGUACCCUUCUCUACGGAAUAGCCUCGGGAAACUGAGAGUAAUACCGUAUACGCCCUUCGGGGGAAAGAUUUAUCGGAGAAGGAUCAGCCCGCGUAAGAUUAGAUAGUUGGUGGGGUAAUGGCCUACCAAGUCUACGAUCUUUAGCUGGUUUUAGAGGAUGAUCAGCAACACUGGGACUGAGACACGGCCCAGACUCCUACGGGAGGCAGCAGUGGGGAAUCUUGGACAAUGGGCGCAAGCCUGAUCCAGCCAUGCCGCGUGUGUGAUGAAGGCCUUAGGGUCGUAAAGCACUUUCGCUAGAGAUGAUAAUGACAGUAUCUAGUAAAGAAGUCCCGGCUAACUCCGUGCCAGCAGCCGCGGUAAUACGGAGGGGACUAGCGUUGUUCGGAAUUACUGGGCGUAAAGCGUACGUAGGCGGAUCAGAAAGUAUGGGGUGAAAUCCCAGGGCUCAACCCUGGAACUGCCUCAUAAACUCCUGGUCUAGAGUUCGAGAGAGGUGAGUGGAAUUCCGAGUGUAGAGGUGAAAUUCGUAGAUAUUCGGAGGAACACCAGUGGCGAAGGCGGCUCACUGGCUCGAUACUGACGCUGAGGUACGAAAGUGUGGGGAGCAAACAGGAUUAGAUACCCUGGUAGUCCACACCGUAAACGAUGAAUGCUAGUCGUCGGGUAGCAUGCUAUUCGGUGACACACCUAACGGAUUAAGCAUUCCG
rnacentral:rRNA from 1 species